CGCUGGACCUCGGCUUCCAGGGCCCUGCCUCGCUACAGAGUGCUGAUUGGUGUGUUUUACAAUCCUCUUGUAAAACAGGAAAGUUCUCCAAGUCCCCACUCGACCCAGGAAGUCCAGCUGGCUUCACCUCUCAUUGAGUUUGCAGGAUGGCAGGCUUAUGGGUGUCCUACGAUCUGCCAUUUGUUUGGAAGCUGGAGAACCAAGAAAGCUGGUAGUCUUGCUCCAGUCCAAGCUCAAAGACCUGAAAACAGGGGAGCCAACAGUGUAAACCCCAGUGUGAAGUCCAAAGGCUUGAGAACCAGGAGGGCCAAUGGUGUAAGUUGCGAGUCUGAGUCUGAAGGCUGGAGAACCAGAAGCACCCGUAUCUGAGGUGGGGAGAAGACCGAUGUUCCAUUUCAAGUACCUUUUGUGGUUUCCCUACAUCCUGUUCACAAUUCUGUGAGGAGCCCCUUGAUAUAAACUGCGCUUGAAUCAUCCCAGUUGACGUGUGUGUCAACUGUUUCCUGCUGGGACUCUUGAUAUUCCAACUUCCUGAACAUGUAAGGAAAAGCCCUAACAAUGACCUAUAAAACCCCACAAGAUCAGGAUCUGCAUCUCCGAUUACCCUCUAAUCCCUGAAUCCCUAUUUUACCUGAGUCAUACUGGCCUCUGUGCUGUGGGUCUUUGCAUGCCAACAGUCCUCUUGCCACAAGUUCCUACUCAAUAGUCUCUCCUCAAAUGCACCUUAACUGGGGGCCUUUUCCUUCCUAUGCUACAUAAAAUGGAAAGUCCCCAGCCCUCCGUAACUCUCUCACAAUGCUUUAUUUUUCUGCACAACAUGAAUAUUGUUGAUUUUUCUUUUUCGAUGGAGUCUUGCUCUGUUGCCCAGGCUGGAGUGCAGUGGCGCGAUCUCGGCUCAUUGCAACCUCCACCUCCCAGGAUGAAGCGAUUCUCCUGCCUCAGCCUCCUGAUUAGCUGAGCGCACCACCACACCCAGCUAAUUUUUUUGUAUUUUUAGUAGAGAUGGCGUUUCACCAUGUUGGUCAGGCCGGUCUCAAACUCCUGACCUCAUGAUCUGCCCCAGCCUCCCAAAGUAUUGGAAUUACAGGCGUGAGUCACAGCGCCCGGCCAUGUUGUUGAUUUUUCUAUAAUUCACCCCUCCCCGUUAGGAUGUAAGUGCCUCAAUGGCAAAACUUGAGUUUCAUUCACUGCUCUAGACAUGGCAUCUCAAACAGUGCUUAGCCACAUGGAAUGUACUCAAUGAACAGGCUAGUGGUUAUGAGAAUCACCUGUCUGGAUUCCAAUCUGUGCUCUACCACUUACUAGCUGGUGAACUCAGGCAAGCAACCUAGACAUUUCCAUGCCAGUUUUCCCAUCUGUAAGUUGGAGACAGUAAUAGCACAGUUUGCAAGCUUAUAGUGAGGACGCAGUUAAUAUUUAUAAGGCACUUUGAAGAGCGCCUGGUCUAUAGGAUGGGCUAGCGAAAUGUUUGAUCUCUUUUUGUUAAUAUAUUUUCAUAUUACAAUUAUUUGGUAUGAAAAGGUAUGGCCCCUACUGAAAAUAAAUAAAUUCACAGGAGAAUAUCUAAACCUCUACGCACCUAGUUACAUUACACAUAAACAUAUAUAAAGUAAAAAUGACAGAAUUACAGAAAGAAUUUGUUAAUCUACCAUGCUAGUGGAAGACUUUAAUAUACCUCUAUCACUAAGUCAGGUCG
rnacentral:lncRNA from 10 species